rnacentral:rRNA from 1 species
GACGAACGCUGGCGGCGUGCUUAACACAUGCAAGUCGAACGCUGAAGCUUGGUGCUUGCACUGGGUGGCUGAGUGGCGAACGGGUGAGUAAUACGUGAGUAACCUGCCCUUGACUCUGGGAUAAGCCUGGGAAACUGGGUCUAAUACUGGAUACGACAUGUCACCGCAUGGUGGUGUGUGGAAAGGGUUUUACUGGUUUUGGAUAGGCUCACGGCCUAUCAGCUUGUUGGUGGGGUAAUGGCUCACCAAGCCGACGACGGGUAGCCGGCCUGAGAGGGUGACCGGCCACACUGGGACUGAGACACGGCCCAGACUCCUACGGGAGGCAGCAGUGGGGAAUAUUGCACAAUGGGCGGAAGCCUGAUGCAGCGACGCCGCGUGAGGGAUGACGGCCUUCGGGUUGUAAACCUCUUUCAGCACGGAAGAAGCGAAAGUGACGGUACGUGCAGAAGAAGCGCCGGCUAACUACGUG